rnacentral:piRNA from 1 species
GAAAGACAUCAUGCUGAAUAGA